UACGUAGGGUGCAAGCGUUAAUCGGAAUUACUGGGCGUAAAGCAUGCGCAGGCGGUUUUGUAAGUCUGUCGUGAAAUCCCCGGGCUUAACCUGGGAAUGGCGAUGGAGACUGCAAGGCUAGAGUUUGGCAGAGGGGGGUAGAAUUCCACGUGUAGCAGUGAAAUGCGUAGAGAUGUGGAGGAACACCGAUGGCGAAGGCAGCCCCCUGGGUCAAAACUGACGCUCAUGCACGAAAGCGUGGGGAGCAAACAGG
rnacentral:rRNA from 1 species